UACAGAGUUCCUGCCCUUUAUGGGUAGAAACCCCACCCGUGUAUAUUAUAUCUUUGUUGCUUUGGCAGGCCGCCUUCGGGCACCGGCACACGCUGGAUCGUGCCUGCCAGAGGACCCCAAAUUCUGAAUGUUAGUGUCGUCUGAGUACUAUAUAAUAGUUAAAACUUUCAACAACGGAUCUCUUGGUUCUGGCAUCGAUGAAGAACGCAGCGAAAUGCGAUAAGUAAUGUGAAUUGCAGAAUUUAGUGAAUCAUCGAAUCUUUGAACGCACAUUGCGCCCCUUGGUAUUCCGAGGGGCAUGCCUGUUCGAGCGUCAUUUAAACCAAUCCAGCUUGCUGGGUUUUGGGCUUUCGCCUCUGGGCGGGCCUUAAAAUCAGUGGCGGUGCCGCCAGGCUCUAAGCGUAGUAAUUUUUCUCGCUAUAGGGUCCUGGUGGAGGCUUGCCAAUAACCCCAAAUUUUCAAAGGUUGA
rnacentral:rRNA from 1 species